UGGGGAAUUUUGGACAAUGGGCGCAAGCCUGAUCCAGCAAUGCCGCUUGCAGGAUGAAGGCCUUCGGGUUGUAAACUGCUUUUGUACGGAGCGAAAAGGUCUGCCCUAAUACGGUGGGCUCAUGACGGUACCGUAAGAAUAAGCACCGGCUAACUACGUGCCAGCAGCCGCGGUAAUACGUAGGGUGCAAGCGUUCAUCGGAAUUACUGGGCGUAAAGCGCGCGCAGGCGGUUAUGCAAGACAGAGGUGAAAUCCCCGGGCUCACCCUGGGAACUGCCUUUGUGACUGCAAGGCUAGAGUACGGUAGAGGGUGAUGGAAUUCCGAGGGUAGGAGUGAAAUGCGGAGAUAUGCGGAGGAACACCGAUGGCGAAGGCAGCCACCUGGGACAGUACUGACGCUCAUGCACGAAAGCGAGGGGAGCGAACA
rnacentral:rRNA from 1 species